UACAGAGGUCUCAAGCGUUUGUUCGGAUUCAUUGGGCGUAAAGGGCGCGUAGGCGGCGGGGUAAGUCGGGUGUGAAAUCUCAGAGCUCAACUCUGAAAUGGCACUUGAUACUGCUCUGCUAGAGGACUGGAGAGGAGAUUGGAAUUCACGGUGUAGCAGUGAAAUGCGUAGAUAUCGUGAGGAAGACCGGUGGCGAAGGCGGAUCUCUGGACAGUUCCUGACGCUGGAGGCGACGAAGGCCAGGGGAGCAAACGGG
rnacentral:rRNA from 1 species